CUCGCCUUCGCUAGGGUGUGGUGCUGCCGGCUUCGUUUCUCGAUAGAUAAUAGCGCCGCCCGCCGCUUCACACACAAGCGCCGCCACCUUGCCGUCGUCCCGUCGAGCGUCCCGACGGCCGUCGCUUGCCUCUCCUUUCUUCGCCGUGCCUGGCUGUCGUCCGCCUUCCCUUGCUUCCGUGACGUCUCCUCCAAUAUUGCAAAGGCUCUCUGCUCCAAAUUUGUUUUGAGCAUCUUCUUCAAUGUGCCAAAAUAAAUCGCUUGGUGCAGUUCCAGUUUGUGUUUACUAUCCAAUAGUAAUUUCUAAGAGGAUACAUCUCAAGCUGCUAGCUCAGAGUCGUUUGCUUAAAAAAAAAGCCCACGGCAGACGAUUCCGUAACACCCCCAUCCCCGGCCACUACAUCCAUCUCCUCUACCCUGGGUGAAGACGCGCUCCUCCAGUGCUUUGUUUGAUACUGUGGUAGUAGCAACAGUCCAGGUAUUAGAACACCACCAUUCUCUUUUCACUAUUCUUGAGCAGCCCCAUGACUAUAUUGAAAACAAUGAAAUUUCUUCUCCUCAAUGCUUUAAUGUCUGUAUACUGCAAUGUUUCUGUAGAAUCCAAGUAGUAUGUUUAAGGUUAGAAAUUGAAGAAUGUAAUUUGAAAUAUAAACACUUUAGUUUUUUUUUAAACGAUGAUCCUUUCAAGUAGUAAUUGAAAUUUUGAAGAAGAAAUUCGAAGGUUGUAUUACCUAUUUGGUUAAGACUUCCUUGUAGACAAUAUUUUUCGUAUAUGUCCCGCUUGUGCUGGUCCUUUCUUUUUUAUUUUUCUUCUCUGCCUUUGUGUAUGUGUCGCCUAUGUUGUUCUUUUUCUUCUUCUGCUUGUUCUCAUCAUGUGUACCUGUUAGUACCUUUAUAUUUGAUGUCGCGGUUGCUCUUGAUAAUGCGACAUAUAUUUGACCAUGUGAGAAAACGGGUUCAGGCAAGUAAAUGCCGACAUUUGGUAUUGUCUGGCCUUGUGAUUAUUUAUUGUCAUAGCAAAACUGAGUCUGAUUGGAAACUGUUUCCUCUUGAAACUGAACGGAAACAUGUCAUCGUCAGAGGGGCAUAAUGGUAUCCUGGGCAGGAAAAACCGCAUUCCAGAGUGUUGUCCCACCACAAUCCGUGCGUCAAUUGUAUUUUUUUGAAAUCCACGUUUGACCAACCUCGUGCCGUUGAAUAGUCCAUUAGCAGGGUCGAUGUUCCUGAGUAGUAUGAUUGGGCAAUUAAUUUGAGCUUCAACAUAUGUGGAGGCAGUCCAUUUGGGGUGAGAGUGUUUAGGAAUUAUGGUGGAUAGUAGUUAUGUGGGUCGUCUUCUACGGAAUCGAAGUUGUGGUACACCAUCUCCUCCCCUUGGAAGCGAUCAAUCACUUUUAGGUUGAUCUUGUCUACUGAGUCAUUCCUUGUUGAUAGAAUGGAUCUUGACGUGAUGUACUUUGGAUCUUUUAAGCAAGCAUUGUCCAUUUGGUAGACACUGUCGAUGAGCAUAUCCAGGCCAUUAUCAUCUGUCUUAUUUGCCACACAUAUACUUGUUGGUAGUAGUAUUUCACCAUCUUCAUUUGUCUCCUCUGUUUCGUUUCCAAUGCGUAGGAGGUAUUCCGCGAACCAGUUGUCGUUUUGAGCCCUCAUGUAGCGCACGAGCUUCAGUUGACGCAUUGAACUCUAGAGCUCGGACCUGCGUAGUGAUACGUCUCCGACGUAUCUAUAAUUUUUGAAUGUUCCAUGCUAUUAUAUUACCCGUUAUGGAUGUUUAUGGGCUUUACUUUACACUUUUAUA